UGGGAUGUAGCUCAGUGUUACAGUGUGCACUUGGCAUAUGCAAGGCCCUGGGUUCCAUCCCCAGCACUGCAU
rnacentral:tRNA from 1 species